rnacentral:tRNA from 1 species
AAGGGUAUAGCUCAGUGGUACAGUGCAUGCUUAGCAUGCACAAGGUCCUGGGUUCAAUCCCCAGUAUCCCCA